rnacentral:misc_RNA from 1 species
GAAAUGCGAUAAGUAAUGUGAAUUGCAGAAUUCAGUGAAUCAUCGAAUCUUUGAACGCACCUUGCGCUCCUUGGUAUUCCUUGGAGCAUGCCUGUUUGAGUAUCAUGAAAUCUUCAAAGUAAAUCUUUUGUUAACUCAAUUGGUUUCUACUUUGGUAUUGGAGGUCUUUGCAGCUUCACACCUGCUCCUCUUUGUUCAUUAGCUGGAUCUCAGUGUUAUGCUUGGUUCCACUCGGCGUGAUAAGUUAUCUAUCGCUGAGGACACUGUAAAAGGUGGCCAAGGUAAAUGCAGAUGAACCGCUUCUAAUAGUCCAUUGACUUUGACAAUACUUUUAUGAUCUGAUCUCAAAUCGGGUAGGACUACCCGCUGAACUUAAGC